ensembl:lncRNA
CACUGGAACCUCAAACCUGUGUGGACCUCAAACUGAUGGAGUUCAAGAAACAUUUGGACAGUGAUCUCAGAUAUGGGGCUUGAAUUUGGGGUGGUUCUGUGUGGAGUCAGAAGUUGAACUCAGUGACGCUUGUGGGUCCUUGGUCUGUGAUCCCUGGUCUGACCUCCUCAUUGGUGCUUCUUGGAACAGGAGGCUGCCCUGAACAUCUCUCAGCGCCCUUUCCAAUCCAGAGUUUCCUAAGAUUGUCAGUCUUCUUGCCCACACUGCUUCCUCCCUCAUGCAGCUGGACUCAACCCAUUCUCUCACCUUUGGAUCUUCACCAAGACGUUCCAGCAUGAGUAUCUGGACAACAUCUCAUAAUAUUUGGAGACCCCCAAAUGCUUUUGCUCUGUAUCUCACAAGGACUACUGCAGUCCCUCUGGCAGCUCCUCCUGACUGAGCACUGACGGAGGUUGCCCUGAGGUGUUGAAGUCUCCAUCAUCAUCUCCAGCUGACUGGAUAUGGACCUGGACAACCUGCUGUAGGUGGUCCUGCUUGAGCUGGAGGAUAGGACUGGAUCACAUCCAGGGGUCUGCACCAGCCCCAACCAUUCAGUGAUUCUGUGAAACAGUUGACAAGAUUCAAGAGUAAACUGCACCCACCUCUCUACAGUUAAAAAGUCCUCCAUUCUAAAACUGUUUAUUUAUGCCAGAGAAGAGAAGGCUAAGGGGUGAAUCUUAUUAUUGUAUAUAAAUAGCUUAUGGGAGGGAGUGAAGAAGACAGACUCUUCUCAGUGGUAAUCAGUGGAUAGAGAACAGGCAAUAAGCAGACACUGAAAUAUCAGAAAUUUGAGAAACCAUUGCUUCCUAUGGCAUAAACUACUGUCUGUUAUUGAUAGGGAAAACCUAUCAAUUCUACGUAUUUGCAGUAGCAACUGAGGCAGUAAAAUAUUGAUUGCUUACCCUCACAAAUAACACAAAGUGCAAUGCAGUACACAGUAAACACAUAGUUGUUAUCAUAUAUUACUGAAAAGUCCAUGCAUCUAACUAUUUGCAGUCUGAGGGCAUUAAAUGUCCAAGAGCUUAAGUGAAUGUGUUGAAUUCUCUAAUGUUCAUCACUUGAUUUUUUUUUAUUUUUUUUUAAGAUCCACAGUACUAAAAAAUGCAUUACACCAAUUCCUCUGGAAAGGACAUGAAGAUUGUUUUAUGCUCAUAAAUAAUUUCAUACUCCUAAAAAUCUAGCUAGAGUGUUACUACUGAAGCUGAUAGAAGACAACCUUCAGAAUAUGCUUUAUUUUCCCUAUUAUAUAAAUGUGAAAACUUCAAGAAUUUGACUGCUUCCAAUACACCAUUCUUGUACAGAAGGCAAGCAAGUAAAUAAGGGUGUCUUUUUUGUUAUCGGUAUUCCAUAUCAUAACAUCAUGUGAUGCACUGGGAGUUAAAGAGUUAAUGCUCCUGUUCUGUGGAUUGUCAGUAGUUUUGGAUAUGCCUGUCUCAGAAAAUAAGAACUACAUAUCCCAGAGGACUUUUUGUUUCCAUUUGCCAUUCAGAGGCAAAGAUAAAACUGCUCGCAGGUCACCAGAUGUCCCCUUUUUCCUUUUCUGCUUGUCUCUGCAGCGUGUGUGCUCCCUAGCCAUCUCACCUUCAGCAUUAGAGUAAGACCUUCAGUUUUUGGACACUCACUCUCAUUUUAUUUGAUUUAUUAGCUUCAAUUCCAAUUAUAUUGUAUUGUGUUGUGUUAUCUUGCAUUCUGCUAUCAUAUUUAGUAAAUUAGUUUUCCUCC